AUGUGGAGGUUGUUGAAUAUGAUGCAGCUUGUGUGGUAAAAGUUAUCGCAGAAACGUGGACAACACAAUUUUUCCUGCCUUAUGGAUCAUCAUCCCAAACCCAGUUGGAGAGGUUACAUGUCCUCCUAAAGGUGUGUGUGGAGCCUGGAAGGAGAUGAAUGGCUACCAACUCUCGUGUUAGCUAAAUCGUUCCAAAAAGUAAAUGUAUCAGAUCCUCUCUCCCUCAAUCCAGCUUCUCUCUUUCUCCUCUACGCUGAGACGAGACCUAUGGGAGUUUGGCUAAAACCGAAGACUAUUGUUGACCAUGGAAGAUACACAUAUUAGAAGGACCCGAGUGAGAUUUCCAUGGAUGUUUGAUGAGAGUCAUGCCUUAAAGCCAUUCAAAGCUGACGCUGAUCUCGUGGCCAAGGAAGAUGAUUGACCUCCAUUAUAUGAUAGUUGCUACAUUGAAAACUAACAAGGUGCUUGUUGGCCAUGUAAGAUACUGAAGGACCGAAGUGAAGAUCCCAGAUGUUUGGUCUGUUGAUUGGUGGACUCGAGGAGGCUGCUUGCGGUGCCAAACUCAAAGGCCAAGGUUCCAUUUUUAUUCUCUGUUUCUGUUUUGCAGGUUUUUAUUAUAGCUUUCGAGGUCUCUGUGUGUCGAAGAUUGUAUUGUUACAGGAGGCUUCCUUCAAUAUUGGCGAAUCUGCAGAGAAUGGUGAUACUGAUUCAGGAUGCUAACACAAAGGCGACAACAAAUAAUCAGACUUCUAAUUUUGGAUAGAAAGCAAAAUCAUCAAGUCGUCGAAAUUGACUAUCGCAAGCAAGGUUUCCUAUUCCCAAUUACCGGCCAGAUUUGGAUGACAAGCGACCACAACAAUGGGAGGUGGUACUUCCUUUGAGUUUGCAAAAAAGGGCUCCUGUAGGAACACCUUGAUAGACAACAGCUAAGCUCAGAGAAGGCUAAUGAAGGUGUAGCUGAUUCUCAACCUCCUAAACAGAUUGAAGUUCCGGAUGAAAGUUGUGAUGCGUUUAUUGAUGGUUCUCUUAUGGAGAAGGUACUUAAGAGGAGAAGUAUGCGCAAUAUGCUGAGAGCCUGGCAGGAAUCCCCUGAGGGAGGGAAGGACGGUGCUAAAAUUCCGGAGAUCCUUACUGAGGACAAGAAAGACUUCUUCAAGCUAUUGCUCAGAACCAGAUUUCUUAAUUUUAGUGUUAAAGGAGCGUCCAGAUCUGAGAUUGAUUCUCAUGAGUGCCACUUUAAAUGCUGAACUCUUUUUCUAAUUAUUGUGGAGGGGCACCUACCAUUCACAUUCCUGUUGAGAUGUGGAGGUUAUUUGACAAACACACUUAUGCCCCUGUCAUGUAGAUCAUCCCAGAACCAGUUGGAGUUGUCACAUUUCCUCCAAAAGAAUAUGCUUUCUUCACAGCAUGAGGGAUGAUGCACACUAUACGACGCAGCAACGACAAUGAUGGAAUAAAAAUUUAAUAUCCUUUUUCUUAAUCUUCUCUAAAUGUGGAGUUAUUAACAACCAGCUUGUGUAACGUUAUCAUAGAACUGCGGACAAACACACUUAUCCCCUCCCCCUGUGGAUCAUCCCAAAACCAGUUGGAGUUGUCAUAAUUCCUCCAAAAGCUAACGAGAAUGUGUCUGUGGUCCCCGAGACUGGCCCCAACACAUUGAACUAGUCCUAGAAGAGAAAAAUUGGUGGAGCUUUGGGGACAAGAGUGAUGAUCCCUUCAAUUCUGGUGUUAUAUAUGUCAAAAGGAAAGUAGGAGCUUGUUCAUAUGUUGAUGAUCCAGUUGGGUGUCAGUCACUGCUUUCACGAGCAAUGCAUAAGGUUUUGGUUUAAGAACUCUAGGGGAAUCUAGUAUGCUAGCUAAUAGUCGUAGAGAAGUGGAUUAUGAUAGUGUCGAUCACUUGACACUUGGUCAGCACUUUCUCAUCGGAUCCAAGCCUAAUAGCCUUUGCAGAGUUGUGCUGUGACAAAUCUUGGCAUAACAAAUCUGAUUCUGAUUUCAAGGAGUUUUGUCUGCAAGUGUUGUUUGGCUGUAUAAGCAAGGAUGGACCAGCUCUUUUGCAGGUUUAUUUAUCCUUGUAUACAACCAUUGGUUCAAUGGCUGAUCUGCUUGUCAAAAUCGAUAGCAACGUGUAUGAUUCACUUUCCAUCUCAAGUCUCAAGUAUGAUCUCAGGUUGCUCUUGCCUACAACGAGGCGGUAUCAAGUGGAAGAUUGACCUCUUCAAGUGGCUUUGUACAAUCGGGGAUGAUGCACUAUAUGCGCAGCAACAACAACGAUGGAAUGGAAACUAGUAUCCUUUUUUCUUGAUCUCUGCGGUUUCAAUGUUUGUAUUGUUACAGGAGGCUUCCUUCAACAUUAGCGCACCUAUAGAGAAUGGAUAUAUUGAUUUAGGAUGCUAACGCAAAGGCGACAUCAAGUAUCAGACUUCUAAAUUUGGAUAGAAAUUUGUAUAAACAUUAUGUCAUCGAAAUUGACUUCAGGGGACCUCUAAGAUUGAAAGAAAAAUCUGUUGAAAGUUAUAAUCAUUGAAGAAUCAGUUUCCGACAGCUAAAAGGCGCAUUGGACCAAGCUGCCACAGCGUUGCAGCAGCUUUCUGCUCUUAUCAAGGAUACUUUUGCAGGCGGUCAUAGAAGUCCCCUGAGUAAGCUAUUUUCUUCAUCUCUGUAAGUGAUCUCAAAUUCCUUUUCUUUACCUUUUUUUUAAACCUGUUUGAAGUUAAUCCUAUAUUUAGAUGUGGAGACUAUUGAAUAUGAUGCAGCUUCUGGAAAUUAAUCAUAGAACCGUGGACAACACACUUAUAAAAAUCACACCUAUUUCCGAUAUACUUGAAAUGCAUCUUCUUAAUUUCACUACUCGUUUGAUUUUUGAACGUCUUGUUACAUACAGUUUUACUUUCAGGUACGUAUUCCAUAUACAUCUAGUAUUUGUUUUGGCUUCUGCAAAUCGAGUAUCAUAAUUUUCUUAUAUAUUUUAACAUUAGGUCGUAUAUUUUUGAAUGAAUAAAGAAAUCUGUGUUGAAUAAACAAAGAUAAAGAUCUAAGCAGAGAGGCAGAAGGUUGAGGAAUAGAGAAUCUGUGAGUAUAAAUAAUCUGUAAUUACAAAUAUUCAAAAACGAAGAUACGGUUAGGCCAAUAAAUAUUUCACUUCAAUCUGCUAAACAAAACAGAAAAAAAUGUAUCAAAAACACGGAUAUCAAUUAGAGUAUAAGUUGUUUUUUAUUAUUAUUAUUUUUUGGUUUUGUAAUAAGCUUUUAUAGUUUCUAUAUGUAUACUAAUGUAGGUAAACAUGAUAAUUAAAAGUCAAUGUAAGAAAAUUUUGAAAACAUCACAAUAUUGUUGGAGAAGGUUUCAAAGCAUAAAAUCAGAGGAGAAAAGUACACUACAAUGUCUUAUAUUUGCUACAUCUAAAUAAUUGAAAAGUUCAAUUCGAUUACAACAAAAGGAAUCUUAAAGGAAUAUUAUCUUAAACGAUCCACAAAUCAAAACAAAGAUUUACCUAUUCUAUCUGAUCAUAUUACGAUUUAAUUAUAUAAAUUAACAUUAGCACAAUAUAUUUUUUGGAUUCAACAAUAUAUCAAUUUUGGUUAAGAUAUUUUUUCAUAUAUUUUUUUUUGGUGAAAAGAUAUUUUUCCAUAUAUCGUACCAAUUUUCCUUUCUUUGGCACAAAUUAAUAAUCAAACUAAAUAAAAUGUGGAUAUAUAUACUCCCACAUACAGUAUAGAAAAAGACACGAAUCCAAAGAGAUUUAUCACAAGAAAAAUGAACAGUCUCUUUGUACUCUCGAUUUUUAUAGGCCUAAGCAUUGGCUUAAGCAACAUGUUGGUGUCAGCAAAAAGCAAAGUCGUGAUAAGCAAUCAACUGGAACACAACAAACUCCUCAAAGUUUAUUGUCGCUCAAAAAGCGACAAUGUUGGAGAACAUAUUCUUAAAAUCGGCGAGGAGUACGGGUUCAGGUUUAACAAUAACGUAUGGUCAUCGACUCUUUUCUGGUGUCGAAUGGAGCAAGGUCCUCAUUUUAGGCACUAUCGGGCUUUUGUGGUGUAUGAGACUUCGUGGAGACACCCUACGUGCAAGUGGAUAGCUACAGAAAAUGGAAUUUUUCUUUCUAAAGAUGGAAACUCUGCCGUCUACCAAUAUCAAUGGGUAACGCUACCGCCUUCAAUUAUAUGAAUGGGAAGGUCCACACUGAAAAGUUUAUUGGUUUUUGUAUUCUUUUGUUCAUCUUUGUACCUUAUAAUAAAAUUAAAUAAAAAAGAUGAAAUAGU